rnacentral:lncRNA from 1 species
GGCCACAUCUGUGACACAUGGAAGUUCCUGGGCUAGGGGUUGAAUCAGCUUGCAGCUGGCCUACAUCACAGCACAGCAACACAGGAACUGAACUGCAUCUGUGACCUACACUGCAGCUUGCAGCAAUACCUGAUACUUAACCCACGGAGUGAGGCCAGAGAUCAGACCCACAUCCUCAUGGACAUCAUGUUGGGUUCUUAACCUGCUGAGCCACAGAGGGAACUCCAAAAAAUACAUUUCUAUUUUCCACAACAAAUGAAGGUAAACAGAGAAACCUGUGGGGCUUGACUUAGAUAUUCUUGCAGCCCAUGUGCUCUUGAAAGCUCUGGACACACAGUAACUAAGUCAUUAAUCCUCACUACAACUUCUCCCCAUAAACCGCAUAUUAUUAUUCUUUAAUGGUUGAUGAAACUCAGUCAGGAAAGAUAAUUGCCUUGCUCAAGGCCACAGAGGGGGCCUGUGUUAGAAAAGAGUUAGACUUGAGUGAUUUCUGGCCUACAGGCUUGUAUGUGGACCACCAGGUUAUAUGUGAUGGAAGAGUCUUUCUUGAAUUGUAUGCAGAGUAUUUGUGUUUCCAUCCGCGUGUGUGUGUGUGUGUGUGUGUGUGUGUGCAUGUGUUGCUUCCUUUCAUGUCCUAAUAUUAGAAAAAAACAUUUGCAGUCUUGUGAUAUAUUUAUUAACUCUGAAAUUUGUUCUCUUCCUCUUUCAGUGUCUGCUUUGUCUGAGAAACAGCAACCCUGGGCAACAAAUCAAAAGGAUGAAAACAGAAGAGCAUACUCUGAACUACAGAAUGUCACCAGACAAUUAUUUUCAGGGACCAGACCAUCUAAUGUCAGGUUUUGAUGAAUUCUUAAUAACAUCUUCGAUGAAAGAAUUGUUUUUCUGUCUAGGAAGGUGCUUUAGUAGUGGUGAAGUGUGUACAGGGUUCAGGAGUCAAAGGUACCAGAAUUGGAAUUCUGGUUCUAUCUUUUCCUGUCUCCCUUACGUUGGGAAAAUAACUGAAACUCUGUGUUUCAGUUUUCUCAUCUGCAAACUAUGGAUGUCACAGGAUUGUUGUAAGGAUUCUAUAGGACCAUAUAUUAGUGUGCUUAGAACUGUGCUGGGCAUAUAGGAUGAGCUCAACAGAGCUUAGAUGCUAUCAUCAUCUCCAUUACAAAUACACAGCAGGAUAGGAGGCAGAAGCUUUUUUUCCAGCUUUUUGGGGCCAUACAUGCAGCAUAUGGAAGUUCCCAGGCUAGGGACUGAAUCAGAGCUACAGCUGCUGGCCUACACCACAGCCACAGCAACACCAGAUCUGAGCCGUGUCCGCAAGCUACACCACAGCUCACGGUAACAUCAAAUCUAUAAACCACUGAGUGGGGCCAGGGAUCCAACCUGCCUCCUCAUGGAUACCAGUUGGGUUCAUUUUUGCGAAGCCACCUUAGGAACUCCAGAAGCUAUCUUUUCAAACCACGCUAGUGGUCAGUGCUCCGUGCUCCUGCUACUUGUGAAGAAAAUGCUUUUCUUUAUUUAAAAGAGUCAAGAGGCUACAUAAAUGAAUAAAAUCAGGACAAAACGACUUGAGGGAAUGUACCUAAACAAAAUUCAGGGGCGCACAGAAAACUUAGGAAGAAACAUCACAUUCUCAGAGGUUGGAUUCUGAAUAAAAUUGUUGGCACAUAUCAGUAUACACUUCAACAUGCCUCUUCCAUGUGUUGUCUUUUCAUCAUGAAGAAAGUUCUUCCUGGGUGAAAAGUAGACACUAAUGCUGCAGCCCUAAAGAGUGUUGACUGCCAAACUCUUCUCUUCUAGGGGCCAAUGUGGACUAUUGGCUCAGAAUGAAAAGCACAGAAACAUCACAGUGACGUGGUUCUUUGCAGCGUUAAACAUGGAUGAGUCAUACCAUCAAGCUGACACAGACAAACACAACUAUAUCAGGUAGAUCAAGCCCACAGAUAUACUGCUUAUAUCCAGAAAAUAACACCAAGGUAUUCUGGCCUCAAAAUAAAGAACGACUUCCUGGAAAUUAAAAGUAUGAUGAUGAUCAAAAUUAGACAGUAGAAGAGUUGAACGAUGAGGUUGAAAAAAAACCUAGAACAUACAGAGCUUAAAAAACAUAAAGCGAAGAUAAGUAUGAGAAAAUGGAUGCACUAGAUUUAACAGCCAACUCACAGGAGAUUCAUAAAGAGAAAAUUAGAGCUAAUACAGAGGAAGACAUUAUGGGAAGAAUUAAUAAAAAAAAUUCCCAGAAAUGAAGACUAUUCCUCCUUAAAUUGAAAGGGCUCAUCAAGUAUCCAGUGAAAGUGAACAGGAAGAACCCCACAUUUUUCAAUGCUUCAGAGAAAUUUCAGAACAUCAAGGAUAAAGAGGAUAUCCUCAGAGCUUCAAGAGAGAGAAAAAAAUCACCUACAAAGGAAUGUGUGAAUGACACGGGGCGUCUCGUCAACACUUCUUGAUCCUACAAAGUAGCAGAGAAAAGCCUUUACUAUUAUGAAGGAAAAAUUAUUUGGGGUCUAAACCUCUAUGCCUGCCCCAUCUAUUGUUGAUAUGGGAAAAGAGAAGAAGGAUAUUUUUUUGGACAUGUAAAAACUCAGAAAGUUUACUUCCCAAUUAGCUUUUCUUAGGAAGUUUUUGGGAAUGGACUCUAGGAGACAGACUUGCCAAGGGGUUCUAGAAAUCAGUCAGCAAAGGGUAGGGCAGAAGGACUGAGGAAUACAGAGAAGUAUCUGGAAGUAAAGGAACUUUAUGAAUAGGAUCAGAUCUAUACUGUCCUUGGGAGAACUAGAAAUGCUGGGGAGAGGAGCCUUAAAACCAAAAAGAGUUUUAAGGCUAUGUAGCUAAAUCUUCCUGGAGUAGUCCAUAACUAAAAGGGGGGAACACAGUGUAAUGUAUUCAGGAUUUACAUACAUAACCACUUAUUUGUCUGUGAAGAAGUCUUCCUGACUAAAGUUGGUUUUAAGAUAAAUUUUAAUUUCUCAGAGUUCCCAUCAUGGCAUGGUGGAAACGAAUCCGACUAGGAACCAUGAGGUUGCAGGUUCGAUCCCUGGCCUCUCUCAGUCGGUUAAGGAUCUGGCAUUGCCAUGAGCUGUGGUGAGGUCACAGACGCAGCUCAAAUCCUAAAUCCUCCUUUGCUGUGGCUGCGGUGUAGGUUGGCAGCUGUAACUCCGAUUAGACCCCUAGCUUGGGAACCUCCAUAUGCUGUGGGUGCAGCCCUAAAAAGCAAAUAUAUAUAAAAUGAUAUAAAUACAUAUAAUAAAAUAAAAAAUUAAUUUCUCAAUUAGUCUUUAUGGUAUUCCUACCACGUACGUGUUUUUGUGAGAAACUAGUAAAUGUUUUGUGUCAUACUUUUCCUCCCAUUUUAUGGAAGGGAUAUGAGAGUGUUUAAUUUCUCGGGGAGUGCUAAAAUGUCCAGAGGUUGAGUACCUGAAAAAUUAAAGUGAUUAUUAAAGAUUAAAAAAAAAAGAAAAUGAUAAUAGCACACUUUUUGGCUUAGUAAUGAAAAUUUUUAUUGAUUUUCAACUUUUAGAAGUAGCCUUUAGAUAAACCAUGUAAGUCUUAAUGGUGAUAAGGAAAAAGCUGUUAUCAACUUUCUAAUAAGAAACCAAAAGCACAGAAGAUAACAUUCAAGAGAUAGAGGGGGUGUAUGGAAAAGAGGUAAAGGGGAAAGCUCACAGCACGAAUUUAAGAAAUAAACUACAUGAGAGAUUCACUUUAAAAAAAAGUUAAAAGGUACCAGAAUACACUUACAUUACCAGACGAAUUACCCGAGAGGGCAAAAAAAAGGAAGUCACAUCCACGAGAACCUACAUAAAGAGACUAAGCUAAACCUUGUGGAUCAAAUGAAAUAAACAUUCUAAAGAACUAACACUAAGAUCCUAACGCCACGAGUAAGAAGGCACACCAACUCAACACAACCCAAGACGGCAUGACUCCUGUUUGGAUUUCUUGAUCUUGUAAUGACCACUUCAGGAAAGAGCCUAAUACAACACAACCAGCCUAUAAGGAGAGGCUUAGCCCUGUUCUCCAACAAUUAAAGGUUUCUAUUGGUUCUACGGGAUAUGACGUGUGGCCAUGAGAAAAAGGACUCUGAUUAAAAAGCAAAACAAACAUACAUUCUAAUGAGUUUUGUCUUUUCAAAUAAUCCAGUACUACUGCCACUUCCAAGAUUCCUGAAGUGGAAGUUUUGCACAGCCUGUGGACUCUCGGGAGACUCAAAGGAGACACCACUGGAUUAUUUUAACACCUCCCCUGGUUUAUUUUUUACAAAAAUAUGCAUUGUCUAUGUUGACCUUGUCCGUUAAUCAUUCUCGGUUUCUAAUAACUUUUAACUAACCCCAAACCAAGUCUGCUAUCAAAGAAAACCUGUUUUUCACCCACUAAGUCUAUUCAACCUCCAAAGGUUGCUGAAAAGAAGGUCAGUGUUUUGAAUAAUCUUUGAAAGAAACGUUUAGCCUUCGAUUGCUUGUUCAAAAUCUCCCUCCCCAGCACACAUUACACAGGCACAGAUAUAUGCCCCAUAUAAAUGUUUGGAUACUCUUCAGGUUGGGUGACCGACAUUCCUUUUUAGAAUAAUUUAAGAAUUUUACACAUAUUAUACCAUCAAAGAAAACUUUCCUUUCAAGUAGCCAACAUUCAGCCUUUUAAGGCAGCUUCCAUCAGCACUUUUAAAGUCCUUAAGUGUUCAGUGUAUGUGCCUUUUAUAAAGGAUUUUGGUUAACAAAAUAGUUUUUGUGCAAACAUUUCAUUGAUAAUAGUGGAUAAAACAAUAAUAAGCCAGAUUAAGGACAAAAUGAAAAAUUUCUGGACAGAUAAUUGCAUCCUUGAAAUAGCACCUUGCCCAAAAAUGUAUCACUGCAUAUUCAUGGGUGACAGUUUUUAAUAGAGAAGAGGUCAGGAUUAAAAUUAUAUGAUAAACUUUUUUUCUAUAAAAUAAAAACUUCCAAUUAUAAGAACGAGAAUAUUAAAAUAAUUUUUUAUUUUAGCAUAAAAUCAUGGGGCCAAAUAUUACAUUUUUGGCAGAGAGCUCAAAAUGUAUUAAAAGAACUAUUAUAAAUGUUGCUUGGUGAUUUAAUAUGUAGUUCUUGGUAUAGUGGAGCUUAUUAUGAUAUUUUAAGCUAUGGUUUCAUUGCCCUUUGUGAUUAUAGACACACAAAUAAUAGAUAGCUUUAUUUGGUUACCACAUUUCUCAAUUCCAGGUCAAAUGUUCUUUGCUCAGUGAAACAUUCUGAUCAUUACCUGAAAAGCCUCAUUUUAAUGCUCCAGAGAUUUUUGUCACGCUUGGCCAGGAACCAUAUCGCUUAGAUUAUCAUUUCAGAUAUACUCAUUUUUAAAAGAGACUGCAAAAAACUAAGCAUGCAAAAAAAAUCUUUUGCUAAUUAAUGAUGUAUUUUUAGAACAUAUUCUGUCUUUUUUGGUUUCCUUUCAUAUCGAUAAGCAAUAUAAAAGAAAAUUCAUGUAAAUAUAACUGGAUUAAGAAAGAUUAUAAAACACAACCAAGAAUAAAAUCUCUCAUUCUCAAAGAGAAGUGAAAGCAAUCAGUUUUUCUUUUGUCAUUCUUUUAAUUAAUGAAAGAAAGUUGUAUCACCUCCAUCUUCCUAAUUACUGGUUAUUUUAGCAACACACCCGAGAACUGCAGAAAUGCCAGACUCACACAAAUGGCUAAGUUUUUGAAACCAGUCUCAUCCCAGUUACGUGGCAGUAUUAUUAAGAAAGAAGUUUCUAAGCCAAAGCUGAGAAAAAACAGCUGAUUUAAAACAUUACCUUUGUGCGGCGAAGUCUUCCUCUGGGCAGGGGUGGCUGCCGUUUGCACCUGCUGCUGUUUGACCAAAUUUCCUUCACUCCCAGUUUUCAAAAUCUUCUCCCCUAAGCUGCUUUUUUUCUGUUUGCUGUUUAAAUCAUCCCUUCGAGAUGAUGGCAGCUUAGAAGCUGCAUUAGCGAAGAAAGGUCUAGCCAAGCGAGAAGGUUUGGACAUUUUAAACAGCAGAAAAAAAAAAAAAAAAAGUAAAAAGCACACACACAACAACAAAAAGAACCAACCCCAGAAUGUUACCUGCUGGGGCAGCAGCUUCUAAAAAAUCCUUUGAGCUUCACUUUUCAGCUGCCACAGUUAACAGUAUAAAGUGCUGCUGGAUGGGGAGCAUGGGACUGCCACUCAGAUUUCUUUUAAACAAAAGGCAUCAUGCAGUCGCCAAGGCCAUUUGGUUGACCUGUGGAAUGUACAUGUGUGUUCCAAAGACGGCCGGUGACAGUUUCGCAAU